AUUGGAGGGGGGCGCAGCUUGAUGCAGCCAUGCCGCGUGAGUGAAGAAGGCCUUAGGGUUGUAAAGCUCUUUCACCUGGGAAGAUAAUGACAGUACCAGGUAAAGAAACCCCGGCUAACUCCGUGCCAGCAACCGCGGUAAUACUGAGGGGGUUAGCGUUGUUCGGAAUUACUGGGCGUAAAGCGCGCGUAAGCGGAUUGGCGAGUUGGGGGUGUAAGCCGCGGGUUCAAUCCGGGAACUGCCUCCAAAACUCAUACUCUAAAGUUCGAGAGAGGUGGGUGGAAUUCAGAGUGUAAAGGGGAAGUUCAAAUAUAUUUGGAAGAAUAAAACUGGUAAAGGUGACGCACUAGUUUGGUGGGGACUCUCCUCUCCUAGAUUGUGGCUCCUCUUCAGAUUCAAUACCCUGGCACCCACUUUUCUAUCCUACUAGGCUCUCUCCAUUUUUAACACUUCCCUCGCCAUUCUCUACCUCUAAACCCUUUCUCUGCCCCCUAGGCCCUCUCGCGUCUAACCAUUGAGUUUAUACUCACACAAACCAGAUUGUCA
rnacentral:rRNA from 1 species